UGGGGAAUAUUGCGCAAUGGGCGAAAGCCUGACGCAGCAACGCCGCGUGUGUGAUGAAGGCCUUCGGGUUGUAAAGCACUGUUCAGAGGGAAGAACAAAUGGGUUUUGUAGCCCAUCCUGACGGUACCUCUGCAGAAAGCACUGGCUAACUCCGUGCCAGCAGCCGCGGUAAUACGGAGAGUGCAAGCGUUGUUCGGAAUUAUUGGGCGUAAAGGGCGUCUAGGUGGCUGGCUAAGUCAGAUGUGAAAUCCCUCGGCUCAACCGAGGACGUGCAUUUGAAACUGGUCAGCUUGAGUACCGGAGGGGAUAGCGGAAUUCCCGGUGUAGAGGUGAAAUUCGUAGAUAUCGGGAGGAACACCAGUAGCGAAGGCGGCUAUCUGGCCGGAUACUGACACUGAAGCGCGAAAGCGUGGGGAGCAAACAGG
rnacentral:rRNA from 1 species